CCCUUAGAUGUUCUGGGCCGCACACGCGCUACACUGAAGGAGGCAGCGUGUACACCUGGAUCGAAAGAUUUGGGUAACCCGCGAAUCUCCUUCGUGCUAGGGAUUGAGGUUUGCAAUUAUCCUUCAUGAACGAGGAAUUCCCAGUAAGUGCAAGUCAUAAGCUUGCGCUGACUACGUCCCUGCCCUUUGUACACACCGCCCGUCGCUACUACCGAUUGAAUGAUUUAGUGAGGACUUCGGACUGGGACCGAUGCGGCUUUCGGGCUGCGUCGGUAUUCUGGAAAGAUGUCCAAACUGUAUCAUUUAGAGGAAGUAAAAGUCGUAACA
rnacentral:rRNA from 1 species